rnacentral:rRNA from 1 species
UGCGGUUAAACAAAUAAUACUACUAUUUUUUUUUCGGUUUUAUAUUUAAUUAAUAAAAAAUUGAUUUAUAUUUUGGUGAGAUAUUGGGUGAAAUCCUAUUUUCCAUUUAGUUAAAUUUUUGGUUAUGAGGUUAAGAAAUCUAGUAAAUAAACUGGGAUUAGAUACCCCAUUAUUCUAGAUGUUGAAGAUUGGGCUUGAUAAGUAUAAGUUAUGUUCUUUAAAAUCAAAAAAUUUGGCGGUUUUUUAUUCCAAUCAGGGGAAUCUGUCCUGUAAUCGAUAAUCCACGAUUAAUAAAACUUUUAUUUUGCUUGUAUAUCGUCGUUGUUAAUUAUUUUUGGAAAUAUAUAAUUUUAAUAUAUGAUUGUAUUGGAAAUCAGAUCAAGGUGCAGCUUAUAUAAGUAGAGAUGGAUUACAAUAAAUUUAUUUUAGGAUUGAUUCUAGCAUUAAAAAUCUAGAAUUUGAAUUUGAAUGUAAUUUUGAUUAUUAAUUAAGAUGAAUUAGGCUCUAAAAUGUGU